GGGCGGAUGGCGGAACUGGCAUACGCGCACGGCUUAGAACCGUGUCCGAAAGGGUGAGGGUUCGAGUCCCUCUCCGCCCA
rnacentral:tRNA from 1 species